rnacentral:rRNA from 1 species
UACGUAGGGGGCGAGCGUUGUCCGGAUUUAUUGGGCGUAAAGAGCUCGUAGGCGGUUUGGUAAGUUGGAUGUAAAAUCUCCAGGCUCAACUUGGAGGGGUCAUUCGAUACUGCCAUGACUAGAGUUCGGUAGGGGAGUGUGGAAUUCCUGGUGGAGCGGUGAAAUGCGCAGAUAUCAGGAGGAACACCCGUAGCGAAGGCGGCACUCUGGGCCGGAACUGACGCUGAGGAGCGAAAGCGUGGGGAGCGAACAGG